AUGAGCACCUUCAAGGAGUUUGAGGACGAAUUGAAACCGGAUAAUAAGUACCGGGUGGCUUUUAGCACAAAAGCGUUUCAAAUAUUGUCAAGCAACUAUCUCCAAGAAGCCGAAUGGUUUCAUCAGAAUCACAAGCCAAGAUUCAAUGAUCAAGUGAAGCGUGGGAAGAACAAAAAUGAUGUGGCCAGCUCCGUGGAAUGUUACAUCAGUGAGCAGGGCGUGGCGAGUGAGGUCGCCAUUGCCAAGAUAGGUUCUCUGAUCGAAGACGCAUGGAAGACUACGAACCAAGCACACUUUGAGCUCCCUGAGCUGCUGCUUCCGGCGGUGCAGCGAGUCGCAAAUAUAACGAUCAGCAUGCCGUUCAUGUAUGAUAACAAGACAGAUGCCUUUACGUUUAGCAGCCGUCUUGAGGGGACGAUUAAGCGACUGUUUGUCAAUCCUAUCAAGCUCUAG
rnacentral:rRNA from 1 species